AUUGAACGCUGGCGGCAGGCUUAACACAUGCAAGUCGAGCGGAGAUGAGGUGCUUGCACCUUAUCUUAGCGGCGGACGGGUGAGUAAUGCUUAGGAAUCUGCCUAUUAGUGGGGGACAACAUUCCGAAAGGAAUGCUAAUACCGCAUACGUCCUACGGGAGAAAGCAGGGGAUCUUCGGACCUUGCGCUAAUAGAUGAGCCUAAGUCGGAUUAGCUAGUUGGUGGGGUAAAGGCCUACCAAGGCGACGAUCUGUAGCGGGUAUGAGAGGAUGGUGCGCCACACUGGGACUGAGACACGGCCCAGCCUCCUCCGGGAGGCAGCAGUGGGGAAUAUUGGACAAUGGGGGGAGCCCCGAUCCAGCCAUGCCGCGUGUGUGUGAAGAAGGCCUUUUGGUUGUAAAGCACUUUAAGCGAGGAGGAGGCUACCUGGAUUAAUACUCUAGGAUAGUGGACGUUACUCGCAGAAUAAGCACCGGCUAACUCUGUGCCAGCAGCCGCCGUAACAC
rnacentral:rRNA from 1 species